AUUGAACGCUGGCGGCAGGCCUAACACAUGCAAGUCGAACGAGUGGCGGACGGGUGAGCAAUGUCUGGGAAACUGCCCGAUGGAGGGGUCAAACUUCUGGAAACGGUAGAUAAUACCGCAUACCAUUCUAUCUGCCUAGAGGGGAUUAGCUAGUCGGUGGGGUAAAGGCUUACCUAGGCGACGAUCCCUAGCUGGUCUGAGAGGAUGACCAGCCACACUGGGACUGAGACACGGGCCAGACUCCUACGGGAGGCAGCAGUGGGGAAUAUUGCACAAUGGGCGAAAGCCUGAUUCAGCCAUGCCGCGUGUAUGAAGAAGGCCUUCGGGUUGUAAAGUACUUUCGGCGGAGAAGCGGUACCCGAAGAGAAAGCACCGGCUAACUCCGUGCCAGCAGCCGCGGUAAUAC
rnacentral:rRNA from 1 species